rnacentral:rRNA from 1 species
GAUGAACGCUAGCGGGAGGCCUAACACAUGCAAGCCGAGCGGUAUUGUUUCUUCGGAAAUGAGAGAGCGGCGUACGGGUGCGUAACACGUGUGCAACCUGCCUUUAUCUGGGGGAUAGCCUUUCGAAAGGAAGAUUAAUACUCCAUAAUAUAUUGAACGGCAUCGUUUAAUAUUGAAAGCUCCGGCGGAUAGAGAUGGGCACGCGCAAGAUUAGCUAGUUGGUGAGGAACGGCUCACCAAGGCGAUGAUCUUUAGGGGGCCUGAGAGGGUGAUCCCCACACUGGUACUGAGACACGGACCAGACUCCUACGGGAGGCAGCAGUGGAGGAAUAUUGGUCAAUGGGUGCAAGCCUGAACAG